rnacentral:rRNA from 1 species
CCCUUAGAUGUCCUGGGCUGCACGCGCGCUACACUGAUGUGUCCAGUAAGCACCUAACCUCUUCCGAAAGGAACGGGUAACCUUUGCAAAGCACAUCGUGAUGGGGAUAGAUUAUUGCAAUUAUUAGUCUUGAACGAGGAAUUCCUAGUAAGCACAAGUCAUCAGCUUGUGUUGAUUACGUCCCUGCCCUUUGUACACACCCCCCGUCGCUCCUACCGAUUGAAUGUUCCGGUGAGCUCUUCGGACUGCGCGGUCUGCAGUUUCUGCGUUCCGUGCGGAAAGUUGCGCAAACCUUAACAUUUAGAGGAAGGAGAAGUCGUAACA